rnacentral:SRP_RNA from 2 species
GCUGGGCAUGGUAGCUCAUGCCUGUAAUCCCAGCACCUUGGGAGGCCGAGGUGAGUGGUUCGUCUGAGGUCAGGAGUUCAAGACCAGCCUGGCCAACAUGGUGAAACCCCAUCUCUA